AAAUUUUUAGAUUAAUUGGUCACAACUAAUUUUUCAAUCACAAUUUAAUAAAUCAUGAGUCGCAAACACAAUUUUUAGGUCAUGUAUUAUUUAUUUAUCACAAUUUAAUCAAUUAUUGAUCACAUUAAACCAAUUAGUUGGUCACAAACACUCCACAACACUUGUGACCACCACCCUGCCACUUCUUGCAAUAGCACAAAUGCUACAGCCACGGUUGUCGUCACUGCCAUAACUAACACCACGUCCACCUCUCAACGGCAACAUCAUCACCUCAAAUCAACACAUCGUCAUGCCAUAUCCACCACCACCCCGAUAGAUCUAUCGCCACCAACAUCACCAUACCCAUCGUCACCAUCUCACCACCCAUAAUUUCCACCACCACCGCCACCAACAGAACCACAACCACCACCAUAUCCAACGUAACCUCCGCCAUAGUUGGAUCCAACAAAGCCGUCGCCACCUAAACAUAACCACCACCACCAUUACAGCUCUCUCCACCAAUUGAAAGCAUACCCAAAAACCCACUAGAUUGCGGAGUUGCAAAUUCCGGGCAUAGCACCAUCACCAUUUCCAUCUCCACACCACAACAAAACACCAAAAAAAUCCCCGAACUCGUUGUCAUCGUCGCCGCCCCACCACCCCACCACCAAAAAAUCCCCAAAAUCGACAUGUAGGAUGGAGCUGCCGAAGUAGAUCAAGCCAUAAGUCAUGGCUGCAGUGUGGGCGACAGGCGCACUACUGUUGCGGAGAGUUGAUAACACCGGAGGGAUGACGCCAUCAGAGAAGUUGAAUGAAAAAAGAUGGACUCCAGUGGUUCUGCACACGAUCAUCGCAGUUAACGAUCGUGUACAGUUGUGCUACUGCCGUUACAAGGCGUCGUUGGCCCGAGCUGUUGGAGAAUAAAGACGAUGCGACGCCAGAUAGAUCGGGUAGAGGGCUGUGAAGAGAGGAGAAGGGAGAUGGAAAGAGAAGAAAUUGAUUAGGGUUUUGAAAUGAAAUUUGUACAAUUAAUAUUUAAUAUUUAAAUACAAAAUAUCUGAUUUUUGAAAGGUUAAACUACCUAUCUGAUUUUAGAAUACAGGAUUUUAAAGGUAGGUUAUUCCGUUAUUGUGUAAUUCUCACUUAAAUUAAAGUCUAC
rnacentral:lncRNA from 1 species